AGAGGCUAGAAGCUGGAUUCAGCGUGUCCGCGACCUCACCUUUAGGUCCUGUGAGGGACGGCCCAGGUGGCAGGAUGUCCUGGUCUGGCCUUCUCCAUGGCCUCAACACGUCCCUAACUUGUGGUAAGUGGGGGACUUGGGCUUCAGGGACGAGGCUAGAGGGGGAGGGUUAUUCGCUCUUGGACUUGUGUGCCUCCGUCGGAGCCCCGAGGGAAACGGGGGUGGAAAAACACGGUGGGGUUUUGGCAGAGCUAGGGCUGCUAGAGCAAGAGGUGGGAAGCAGCUGCAUGGAGGGCUACUGCGUGUCAAGCGGCGUUUGGGUCAGUUUUAUUAUUUAUUUAUUUAAGAUCUCCCUCUGUCGCCCAGGCUGAAGUGCAGCGGUGUGAUCACAGCUCACUGCAGUCUCGACCUCCUGGGCUCAAGUGAUCCUCCCGCCUCAGCCUCCCAAGUAGCUGGGACCACAGGCCUGCAGAACCACAACCAGCUAACUUUUUGAUUCUUUGUAGAGAGGGAGGUCUCCCUGUGUCGCCCAGUCUGGCCUUAACUCCUGAGCUCAAGUGACCCUCCACAGCCUCCAAAAGUGCUAGGAUUACAUGCAUGAGCCACUGAGCCUACUAUUAUUUUAAACAGCAUUAAAAAUA
rnacentral:lncRNA from 10 species